UACCAUGCAUGGGCUCCUGUUCAUAGUGUGAGGAGCUAUUUUCCUCUCCUCUGGUGCUUGUUGACACUGAUCAGAGACAAGGUUGGCUUUCCUUGCCCUGGGCAGGCUGCCCUGCAUCCCUAAGUCCCUCCAUGGGCACAGCCAUGGAAGGAGAGAAAAGUUUAGCCUGGUUUGUGCAGGAGGAGAGGUCUUAGAGGGGUGGUGCUGGUUUUUCCAGGCAUUGUCAAUUGCUGGCCAUAACCAACAGUGACCAAGAAGCUGCUGAUGAGUAAGGAACAUGCAGACACACCUCCUGGUGCUUUUUUCCUUCCCCACAAAGAGAACAUAAUUGUCAAGGGAAAACUGUUGGCUGGCAAGGGCUGUCAGCUUCUGAGGUCUGAGGAAGCAGUAUGGAGAGGAUGGUGCCUCCUUCCAAAAGAUGAAGGUAGUCCACCCAGUGAACUUCCAUCUCCAGAGUAAUUAGCAAAGUAGAUGUGUUUGUAGGAGGAAGCUAUUGGAGAGGGUGGUGUUACAUCCCUGGGCAGGAGAGGUUGUGGUUGGGUCUCUGCUCCAAACCACUGGUGUCAUGGACCACUGGAGAGCCAUGGAGGCAGAGCAGGGUCUACAGAAACAAAAAGAAAUAUUAGGGAGUCAGUCCUGGGGAACUGUGUGUUUCUGAGACCCUGAGGCAAACUUCUCAGUUUGUAAUUGAGUAAAAGUCAGUCAUCUCCUUCGUCAUUUUUGCUGGCAGGAUUUGAUCUAAUUUGGGAAAACACACAUGGGAGGGAUGGAGUAAGCUGUGUUUCAAAGAGAAAGAAACAAGGCUUUCCCCUUCUGUCUGAACCACUCUUUCAGGUGUGUGCCUUUCGUCAGUAAGUGACUUCCCAGUCUGGCUGUAGGCUGCACUGAAAUCAGCCAACAAUCCCACUGAACUUCACAGGAGUGGGUUGGACUUUCAGACAUGCCAGAACUUGAGAAACAAAGCAUGUAUUAGAAAAGAAUACCCUUAAAUCCUCUAGGAAAAGGGAAAAAAAAUCUCUAGUUUCACAGAGAAUAAAGUGCUCAUUUCCCUAGCACAUAUUCUAUAUGUGGAAAGCAAAAAAACAGAAUAAAAUUACAGCUAAUAAACUUUUUAAGUGCAGAAAGUUUUCUUUUUUACAUAUAGCGAUGCCCAGUAGCACCACUAAAGUUAAAGGUCUGUCGACAUUUUCGUUAAUAAACCCCCAAUUUUCAUGAGUUUAUUACGCAGCCAUGAAGCCUGCUUCUCAGUUCAACUUGCCAUAUGAGUCCUUAGCACCUGCUGCCUCUCCAGUCUGAAGCCUGGGGAGUACACUCAGAUAUGAUUCAAACCUUUACUCCACCCUGAUUUUGCAGCACCAGAGCACCAUUAAAAAGACUCCUUUGUGACUCAAAGAAACUGAAAAAAUGGAGGCACGAGCCUUUAUUUUUAUACUGCAGAGAAACAGUGUUAGAAUCAGAUCUUUAACAAUACAAUGAAAUUUGUUUGGCUGUAUUUAGAGCUGCAGGAAUGCAAAAUGGAAUAGGAGGCAGAUUUCCAGGGUAGUGUUUCCUGUGAAGCUGUCUGGCUUCCUGUUGGAGUUGUGGGAGACAGAGGGGGAAGGAGAAUCAGUCUGACCUUUUAGCUUCUAAUGCUUAAUUAUCUCCCCUGCUUGGGGUGCUUUGAGCUUCCCUUGCUCCUCAAAGGUAAGGGUUACUAAAAGACAGAACUGAUAUUAAAACAAUGUUGAGAGGUUUAUGAAAAAACAAGCAAACAAACAACCCCCAAACAAACAAACAAACCAACCAACCAACAUAAAACAAACCCCAAAAUUGUUCAGCUCUCCUAGUCCAGUGGCCACACAUAUAUAAAGACAAGGUCCUUCUUCCAGAUGUCUCAAGGGAAGAGGAGUGUAAAGGUUAAAAAUGGGAAAUAAAAGCAAUAUCAGGUUUUCAGAGUCAAAACUAUCAUUUUGAAUAGGAACAGGAACUAAUUUCCCUGCAUCCCAUCCCAGUAUUCCAACCACCAGAGCGUGUUGUUUUGUGAUUAGAAAUCUCCUUUGGGCUUUUUUAAAAGACACCUCACUGCUAGCCAAGAGAGAGCAAGAGUCAAGACACCAGCAAAUCCAGGGAAAAAGGACUUUGAUAGUGUAACUUCUUAUGUAUCCACCUUAGUUAGCCUGAUUCAGGAUUGCUGAGCAUCCUGUUCCUGCUUUCCUCUGGAUAGGUUCACCUUUGAAAUGUUUUACACAGGCACUUGAUCUGACCUGUUUGAGGAAAUUUGGCAUCUGACCAGGUAACAAGAAAAUGGCUUGCACUUCUUGGGAUAGGCAUCCAUGAAAGGCUCUUUGUGCUAGGAGCUGUGGUAGAUUUUUUGCACAAAAAUCAAUAGUAUUUUCUGUAGUAUACUCACUGAAAGAAUCAAAAGUAUUAGUUUGACUCCUACUUCUUAUGAAGCAUCUUGGAUCCACAUGUCCUAGGAGAUGCUCCCUAUAAUUAGAUUUUAACUCAGUCUGCUUUGCAUUUGUCAAGGUCUCUACCUAAGGGCUGGGCUGCCCUGUGACUCCGAAGUGUUUCUUAGAUAGCUCCUACACGGUUGUAGAGCAAUCAGAUAUCCAGAUGAUCCCGAUAUUCCUCAAAAUUCAUAUUCAGAUGUUCCAGCUUUAUAGGAAGUAAAUUCAGCAUCAUGGAAACAGAUUUGCCUAGCCAAUAACCACUAGUCUGAACCCCAAUGAAUAUCAGAGAUGUCUAGGAACCGUAGAUCAUCUUCCAGACAAAGAACAGAGAAAGGCAUCCCCUGGGACAGCCAAGGUCCUGGUACAGGCAUGUCUCUAUUUCUAGGUAAUAUGUAUUCAGGUUCCUUUAAGUGUCAGGAACCUGAGUAUUUGCUCUCACCAUGUGGAUUUAGUCAGGGGAAAAUUCCUCUAUAGGCAUCUGGCCAUAUAGGAUUAUGGCUUGGAGACCUUUUUGAAAUUUAACCAGGUUAGAGAAAACCCUGUGUGAGAAGGGGCUUUGAAGGGGCAGGUACCUAAGUACCUUGUGUUGCUUUAGAUUUAAAGGUAUGGGUAGGAUUUCUUGAUGAUCCUUUGUGCCAUUUACCUCUGCCAGGCUCACCCACUCCUUUUUGCUCCCUUUCUUUGGCAACAUGCUGCAGACACACAAAAAGGUGGCUAUUCAUGGCCUGGCAGGCGGAAGAUUAAUCCUGACAGAGGAAGAAUUUCUUGAUGAAGUGACUUCAAAGGCAAAAUAACAUGGAGGGGAAGGGGGGAGCAAGCAACACUUGUGUGAAGGAAGAAGAGGGAGGCUGUGCCAGUUGGCAUCAAACACUAGAAGAAUAACCUUCGUCCUCAGGGCUGACACUGGUGGCUCAGCUUAAUGCACUGGCAGCUCUGCUUGUAUUGCAGUUUCAGCUUCCCCCAGCUCCCGGCUGAUUCGCAUCCAGGGACACAAAGGCCACCUGGCCCUUGUCCAGUGCCUGCACCAGGUAGAGCAAAGAAAGCUUUGAAAGAAACGAUAGAGACACAUGAAAGAGCUGAUCCACCUGCCCUGAUGAGUGCCAUGGGAGAGAACUGACUGUUGUCUCCCUUUUUGGAUCGCCUUCCAGAGGAAAGUUCUCUCAUGAGUGGUUACUGAUCUGAGAUCCUACCAAAAUCAUUGCAUAUUUGAUGAAAAAAGGAAUAUCCAGAGGUGAAAGGUGUCUCCUGCUGGAUAGGUGUGCAUGAAUCCCUUUGCAGCGGCAGGAUAUGAUGUUUUGACUCUCCUGGAAAUCAGUGCCAAGUUCACAGUGGACAUACACAAUGGAUUGUACCCUCCCUGCCUUGGUCCAGGACUGGUGCCAGAGGAGAAAGAAAAAAAAAAAAAGAAAAGGUGGUUUCCUGCCCAAACUCUUCCUUGUAAUGAAUAUGUGUGAGACUAACUAUGAUCUCAUGGAAAUCUCUGGUUUGUGGUCAUUAAAUAUUAUGAACAUGUCAUCAAUCUGGGUGUGUUACCUGCUUUGUCCCCUCUGAUUCACCUCCAGCAAAAUCACUGCUGCUUCAAAGAAGGAAUCUGCUAGAAACUACUCACACCACCAGCUGUACCUUAGCCUCUUGGUUAGUAGUGUUUAACUCAUAAAA